UACGUAGGGUGCGAGCGUUAAUCGGAAUUACUGGGCGUAAAGCGUGCGCAGGCGGUUCGUUAAGUCAGAUGUGAAAGCCCCGGGCUCAACCUGGGAAUUGCAUUGGAUACUGGCAGGCUAGAGUGCGGUAGAGGAUGGCGGAAUUCCCGGUGUAGCAGUGAAAUGCGUAGAGAUCGGGAGGAACAUCUGUGGCGAAGGCGGCUCACUGGCCCGAUACUGACGCUGAGGCACGAAAGCGUGGGGAG
rnacentral:rRNA from 1 species